rnacentral:rRNA from 1 species
UACGGGGGGGGCAAGCGUUGUUCGGAUUUACUGGGCGUAAAGCGUACGUAGGCGGAUCAUUAAGUCAGGGGUGAAAUCCCGGGGCUCAACCUCGGAACUGCCUUUGAUACUGGUGAUCUUGAGUCCGGGAGAGGUGAGUGGAACUCCUAGUGUAGAGGUGAAAUUCGUAGAUAUUAGGAAGAACACCAGUGGCGAAGGCGGCUCACUGGCCCGGAACUGACGCUGAGGUACGAAAGCGUGGGGAGCAAACAGG